rnacentral:lncRNA from 1 species
AGGACAAAGGGGGCGGGGAGGCCGCCACUAGCAAACAACCUCAGCUUCAUAAAUCCAGCAGAAAGGUCCGGGGUAUUGUUGAAAAGGUCGGAAGGACCAAGAUUAUGUCCGCCAGCCUAAGUGGGACGAACAACCAAGUUGUGCGAUGCAGCUUUAAAGGGGCUGGUGAUUGACAGAAUGGUGUAGUAGUAGAUGGGGUGGAGCCGCUGGGUGGGGUCGAGACUGGCAGCUGAGAGAUACCAAAAGGAAGAAAAAAGAAAACCAUUGCUCUUGAUAUUGCUAAUGCCGGGGGAGGUAAGCUAACGAGAAAGUAGGGAAAAGGAAGGUUUUAGAGUUCACCUCCACUCCUUCCCCUGGCUAACACUCUUUACACUCUUCUGCCUUCCCUUGAGAUAAUUAAAAUAGACUGUACACCGGCCCUAGUCGGUGCCCAUUCCCCCUAACUCUUCACUCAACUACGUGUGUAGUCCGAGGGAGUGAGGACCCCGGGUCCAAGAGCUCAAUCCCGGCCCCGCCCCGUCGGCCCAGGCCCCGGGGCUGGGAGGAGAGGAUGCCUUCGGAGGCGCAGAAUCCGAAAAGAUGUGGUUGGAGCUGGAAGCUGUUAUCCUCAGCAAACUAAUGCAGGAGGAGAAAACCAAAUACUGCAAGUUCUCACUUAUAAGUGGGAACUGAAUGAUGAGAACAUUUGGACAUGGUAAGGGGAGGACAACAUGCAGUGGGGCCUGUUGGGGAGUAUGGCAGGAGGGAAAGCAUCAGGAAAUUCACUAAUAGAUGCUGGGCUUAAUAACUUGAUGAUGGGAUGAUCUGUGCAGCAAACCACCAUGGCACAUGUUUACUAAUGUAACAAACCUGCACAUUCAGCACAUGUACCCCUGAACUUAAAAUAAAGCAAAAUAAAAAUAAAAAUAUAA